rnacentral:rRNA from 1 species
CUACGGGACGCAGCAGUGGGGAAUCUUAGACAAUGGGCGCAAGCCUGAUCUAGCCAUGCCGCGUGAGUGACGAAGGCCUUAGGGUCGUAAAGCUCUUUCGCUGGGGAAGAUAAUGACGGUACCCAGUAAAGAAACCCCGGCUAACUCCGUGCCAGCAGCCGCGGUAAUACGGAGGGGGUUAGCGUUGUUCGGAAUUACUGGGCGUAAAGCGCGCGUAGGCGGAUCAGAAAGUUGGGGGUGAAAUCCCGGGGCUCAACCCCGGAACUGCCUUCAAAACUCCUGGUCUUGAGCUCGAGAGAGGUGAGUGGAAUUACGAGUGUAGAGGUGAAAUUCGUAGAUAUUCGGAGGAACACCAGUGGCGAAGGCGGCUCACUGGCUCGAUACUGACGCUGAGGUGCGAAAGCGUGGGGAGCAAACAGGAUUAGAUACCCGUGUAGUC